rnacentral:rRNA from 1 species
CUGCCAUAUACAGGGGGAUAAUACUUAGAAAUAGGUGCUAAUACCGCAUAAGCGCACAGGGGCGCAUGCCCCGGUGUGAAAAACUCCGGUGGUAUAUGAUGGACCCGCGUCUGAUUAGCCAGUUGGCAGGGUAACGGCCUACCAAAGCGACGAUCAGUAGCCGGCCUGAGAGGGCGGACGGCCACAUUGGGACUGAGACACGGCCCAAACUCCUACGGGAGGCAGCAGUGGGGGAUAUUGCACAAUGGGGGAAACCCUGAUGCAGCGACGCCGCGUGAGUGAAGAAGUAUUUCGGUAUGUAAAGCUCUAUCAGCAGGGAAGAAAAUGACAGUACCUGACCAAGAAGCCCCGGCUAACUACGUGCCAGCAGCCGCGGUAAUACGUAGGGGGCAAGCGUUAUCCGGAUUUACUGGGUGUAAAGGGAGCGUAGACGGUUAUGUAAGUCUGGAGUGAAAGCCCGGGGCCCAACCCCGGGACUGCUUUGGAAACUGUGUAACUGGAGUACAGGAGGGGCAGGCGGAAUUCCUGGUGUAGCGGUGAAAUGCGUAGAUAUCAGGAGGAACACCGGCGGCGAAGGCGGCCUGCUGGACUGAAACUGACGUUGAGGCUCGAAAGCGUGGGGAGCAAACAGGAUUAGAUACCCUGGUAGUCCACGCCGUAAACGAUGA